GGGGUUGUAACACAGUGGUAGAGUGCUUGCCUGGCAUGUGUGAGGCCCUGGGUUCGAUACUCAGCACCACCU
rnacentral:tRNA from 1 species